GAAAACCUUUUUCAUCCCGCAAGCUGAGUAUAGUUUCCUGUCACAGGGAUAGCAUUAGCUGUGAUAACCCACAAGGUAGUCUGAACCUGCCUCAUGCAAAUGAACUUCAAGGCUUUUCUAGAAGGUCAACUAAUACGGAUACUCAAAAACGUAUAAGCUUCUCUGAUCCCGUACAUGGCAGUAGAUGCUUUCCAAGUCUGGAAACAAAACCCGUUUCCUCAGGCCACUGGACUGUUGACAGAUCGUCUUACCCACCAAGUCUAACGACGUCUCUCUUUUCUCUUCCAACCGUCAUUUCUUCUUCCAGUCAAGUAAAUGUAUCUGUUGCUGAGAGUCAAGAACAUGGCCAACCAAAUAAGGAUCUGGAAGAUGCCCUCCAUCACAGGUCUCAGAGUCAGAGUAGAAAUCACUCUGCAGUUGGCUUGGAACAGCAUCUGUCUCUGAAUAGAACUUCCACCAGCCUCCUCCGUGAUGAACUUUCUUCACUGUACCAAACUGUCAAUAGCUUAACUGUUGACGUUAACUUGGGCUCCUAUGGAGAAGAAAGCUUUGAUACCUUACCUCUAGAUGAAGAUAUACCUUCGCCGAUUGAAAUGGCUGAAAUAAGGUAUAUUACAGCUAACACUGACACAGAAGAACAGAGUUUCCCGGUCCCUAAGGCUCUUAACACACACAUAGAGGAUCUAAAGUUGGAUGUCCUCCUUCAGAAGGUAGAC
rnacentral:lncRNA from 1 species